rnacentral:rRNA from 1 species
GCAGCCGCGGUAAUACGGGGGAUGCAAGCGUUGUCCGGAAUCAUUGGGCGUAAAGAGUUCGUAGGUGGUUUAUUAAGUCUGGUGUUAAAUGCAGAGGCUCAACUUCUGUUCGGCACUGGAUACUGGUAGACUUGAAUGCGGUAGAGGUAAAGGGAAUUCCUGGUGUAGCGGUGAAAUGCGUAGAUAUCAGGAGGAACAUCGGUGGCGAAAGCGCUUUACUGGGCCGUAAUUGACACUGAGGAACGAAAGCCAGGGUAGCAAAUGGGAUUAGAUACCCC